UACGUAGGGUGCUAGCGUUGUUCGGAAUCAUUGGGCGUAAAGCGCGUGUAGGCGGUUAGUUAAGUCGGGUGUGAAAUCCCUGGGCUCAACCGAGGAAGUGCAUCCGAAACUAACUAGUUAGAGAAUGGUAGAGGAAGGUGGAAUUCCUAGUGUAGAGGUGAAAUUCGUAGAUAUUAGGAGGAAUACCGGUGGCGAAGGCGGCAUCCUGGACCGACAUUGACGCUGAUGAGCGAAAGCUAGGGGAGCAAACGGG
rnacentral:rRNA from 1 species